GCAGCCCACCACCCCAUGCGGGAAUUGAAUCAGCAACCUUGUUGUUGAGAGCUCACGCUCUAACCAGCUGAGCCAUCUGGCUGCCCCUGGGUCUGUCACUCUUGAAUAAGCUGCUGGGGCCUGGGGACCCAGGGAGACAGCCAGUCUCACCACCUCCCUAGUCUUUGCAAUGCGAUCCCGAAAUCCCGCCCAGCGGGAUGGCAGCAUCAGAUGCAGCUGGUGUGGACCCGUCCCAGGAGGAUGCUCCCAUUUCGGGGUUCCCAGCUGUCUCUGGGCAGGGUGCCCUAGCCAAGUCCGGAAAAAGCCGGAGCCUUUCUCUGGUGACAGUUCUGAGGUCACACGGGUGGGGAGGCUGCUGGGGGUGGAGGAAGGGGUGUAUGGCCUCAGGACCUGGAAUUGCUCAACCAGCGAGCCUGGAAGGCAGUGGGAGCCCAGCCUGGCACCAGCGAGGUCGGCCCCACGCCCAAAGAGAUGCUUAGAUCUUCACUUGUGGAGCCUGUUUUCCAGAGAAAUGUAAUUCCACAUUGUUUGUUCUCUGCUCCACAGAUGCCUCAGCUGAGGAAACCACGGGAAUCUCAUUUGAAGAAGAAUUUGGCCUCUAGAGCCCCCUCCUCAUUCGCCGGUGGGAGGGUGCCAAGACUUCAGUUGCUGCCACCACACCAGCAAACCCCAAACCACAGGAAUGCAGUGGGGUCACCUGGGGACAGAGGGAAGGUGGCUGGACAGUGAGAGGGCAGUGAGGCCGUGGGCCUGUGUCACUGGAGCACUGGAUUAGGAGCCUCCAGACCUCAAUGUGAAUGUAGACGGCCACUGUGGUCUGGGGUCUUUGUGGUCACAUCUGUGGCUAACCAUGCUCACCUGGCCACUCCGGCCCUCAGCCAGACUCAGGCGAGGAGCCGAGCUUGGCAGUGAGGGAAGCCACACAUGGGGAUGGGGAGUGAAGCCAGGACUGGAGGAGGUGAGUGAAGGUAGAAUUUUCUGGUCUGCAGGCCCUGCAGGCUGAGCUAGAGAGGCACCCAGCACUCACAGGUGCCUUCUAGUAUCAGAGGAAGGCAACCACAAAAUGAUAGCAUCAGUUAUGGUAAAGCACUGCUCCAGGCACUUUACGUAGUUAGUUGCGUUUCUUCUUACAGCUAUCUUCUAUGGCUGCUGUUAUUCUGUUUUACAGGAAACUGAGGAAGGUAAAGGGACUCAAGGUACCAGGUACCAAAGGCAGAGGACAGCCAUCCCCAAAGACUGUGUUCUUUGCACAGCAUGUCACUUGGCCCUGGCUUGGCCCUCAGACUUGCUUCUUCGUGGGAUUACAGUCAAAAUCAUAGUGUUUUUGAGCUGGAAUGGCCUUGGUGCAAGUUGCCACUUUACAGGUGGGGAAAUUGAGGCCCAGAGAGGGGAAGUGGCUUAUCCCAAGUCACCAAAGCAGACAGCAGAUCUGUCCCCUGAGGCUCACUGGCUAUUUGGCUCACAUGGGUGCUGCCAAGUGUUCCCGAAGCCAAAGCUGUCUGUCGUGCCCAGUGGGACAGAAACUCCUUGCUCUGUCAGGUUCAAAGCUUGUCUGUCGGUCUGAUCCUUCCUCUGGUCCUAAGGGAGUGUGGAUGGCUCGGCGCACCUUGGCCCCGCGGCUUGACAACAACUGCAGGUUCCGUUGACAGGGUUCAGGAGCACGAAGCUGGUUGCUGAAGGGCUACCCUCCGUUGUCUCUCAUCAUCAAAGGCCUCAUGGGUCUGCUUCACAGACCAGGCAACAGACCUGCACAGGAGGGGAGGAGCUGCCUCCUGGAAGGACAGAGGGAGAAGAGACUCUGCUGACCAGCCCAGGGGCUCUGGGGCAGUCCCACCAUUGGUCCUCAAGGCUGAGAGCUCAUCCAAUCCAGCCCCCUGCCUUCCUGCCAGGGAAGCAUUCUGUCCAAUGUGAGCUGUGAACUGAAGCGGCCUCCAUUCUUGCUCUGGCCUUACUUCGUUUGCAGAUCCACCCCAAACCCCUCAGACCAUGAGAGGGGUGCUAGGAGAAUGGGAUAGCUGCUUCCUCCAGCCCCACCCCAUCCCAGCACGCUCAGUCUUUGGUUGGAGUAUCAUGGAACUGGAAGACUUUAAAGAAGGCAGUGGGGUUCAACAGCUGUGCAGAGGUGGUAAAGAGAAGAGAAAAGGCAGUUGAUUGCCAACAAGCAUUCUAAGCGCAAUCUUCUACAACUGGUAGAACUGGGAGACAGCUCCACAGGCUCCAAUGUGGCCAUGAAGCAAAAAGACCGCGUGGGACUCAAGGAUGCAUGAGGAGCUACAGGAAGGUCGGAGGGCAUGGUCUCAGCCUGUGUCUCUGAGGGCUUCAGAAAUAUCCCUUCUAGGACUGCGCAACAACUCUUGGGAGUAGCCUCUGAAUUGGGCAGAAGUACUGGGCAUAAAGUAGGGAGAGGAGGUUCAGAUACUGCAGGGGGAGGUGUUCAGUGGAGCUGGCCUCAAAGAGAAGCCAUAUUUUCAACACUUCUGAGAUCAAUAGUGGGGGAAUCCGGGAGCAGUGAAGGUGAGAAAAUUUCCCUGGCCCAUUCCCUUCCUCCAUCUAGGAAUUUUCUCCUAAACGGACAGAGAAAUCCUGAUUUAAACACACAAAAUGGAAAAGGAUUGCAAACAAAGACAUUCCUAAGAAGGAAGGUGCUGUCCAAGAAGGUGAAGAGAAUAACAGAGAAAGCAUCCUGCUCCAGACCAACCCCAGAGCUAAACAUUCAUUCUUGAGGAUGAAAAAUCCUCUCCUCCACCCAGUGGGUGCCCAUAAAUCCAGGAAGUUAUUUGACGAUGAGCUUCAUAAAAGAAGGAAGAAACCAAGAAAAGGGAAAACAUGGGAUUUUUGUCAGUUCGUAAGUUAGCUUGCAAAUCCACCUUUGAUCGAUACAACCUUUAAUCUCAGAGCUGCAGCCGGGAUCACAGAGGCUUUUAGAUUUCUAUGAAAAGGUAUUAAGUAAAUUGAAGGCUGUCAUUAAAGAGGGCAUUUUUUUCCUUUCCCCAUUCUCCUAUCAGCCCAUAAAACAGGAACUUUCAUCCUCUUGGAAGUAUUUGGAAGAAACGUUUCAACUUUCUUGGCACUCCCUAGUUCCUCGCUGUGAGAGAAGUGACCUCUUGGGUUGAUGGAAUUGGGAAAAGUUAUCAAGUGUGCAUUGCUCAGCCUGUUCCUGGCUCUCUCUCUGGGACUGACCUAACCGCAAGGCCACUGCUCCUGCCUCCUCCAGGCAAUGUGCACCAGGGCAGCCCCAGACUCUUCUUGGGAGGACUUCAAUAGUCGGCUGUUCUGCUGUGAGUGGGUGAGUAAGGUCAAAUUGGGGGAGAAGGAAAAGGAAGCCCAUUUGCGCCUUGAGUCUGAGCCACACUCAUCAAUCCAUCUGGACCAACAAUAAAGCUGACAU